GACCAUGGCUGAGGAGCAUGUGUUUAGAGAACCGCAUGGAGAGCACAUUCAGAUCCUUGAUCAUGGUCGAAGAGUGUAUUUUUGAAGAACCAGAUGGAGAACAUAUUCUGAUCCUCAGUCGUGGUUGAAGAGCAUGUGUUUGGAGAACCACAUGAAGAACAUGUUUCUAUCCUCAAUUAUGGUUGAGGAGCACUUGUUUGGAGAACUAUAUGGAGAACAUGUUU
rnacentral:lncRNA from 1 species